AUCGAACGCUGGCGGCAGGCCUAACACAUGCAAGUCGAGCGGAGCGGCGGACGGGUGAGUAAUGCCUAGGAAUCUGCCCGGUAGUGGGGGAUAACGUCAGGAAACGGGCGCUAAUACAGCAUACUAUCAGAUGAGCCUAGGUCGGAUUAGCUAGUUGGUGGGGUAAAGGCUUACCAAGGUGACGAUCCGUAACUGGCCUGAGAGGAUGAUCAGUCACACUGGAACUGAGACACGGCCCAGACUCCUACGGGAGGCAGCAGUGGGGAAUAUUGGACAAUGGGCGAAAGCCUGAUCCAGCCAUGCCGCGUGUGUGAAGAAGGUCUUCGGAUUGUAAAGCACUUUAAGUUGGGAAGCGUUACCAACACAGUAAGCACCGGCUAACUUCGUGCCAGCAGCCGCGGUAAUUC
rnacentral:rRNA from 1 species